AGAGAAACACAAACAGAGAACCAGCUAUUAUCAUUUGGAGAACUUACAUAACCGGAUCACAGCGGAUAUUUUUAAUUGGAGAAACAAUUGAGGAUGAACCAGCAACAGAGUGCGUUCUAUAAGCAGCAAGUUAUGAAGCAUGCCGGAACACGCACCACAAAUACAAACACCAACUAGAAAUGAUGUCACUCUGGACACAUUCAUCCAUCGCAAAUCAUUCCAAGUUUGUUUUUAUCNNNNNNNNNNUAGGAUGAACCAGCAACAGAGUGCGUUCUAUAAGUAGCAAGUUAUGAAGCAUGCUGGAACACGCACCACAAAUACAACCACCAACUAGAAAUGAUGUCACUCUGGACACAUUCGUCCAUCGCAAAUCAUUCCAAGUUUGUUUUUAUCAAGCAAAUGGUUUCGAUUAG
rnacentral:lncRNA from 1 species